GACGAACGCUGGCGGCGUGCUUAACACAUGCAAGUCGAACGAAGUGGCGAACGGGUGAGUAACGCGUAAUCAACCUGCCCUUCAGAGGGGGACAACAGUUGGAAACGACUGCUAAUACAGCAUACUGAAGGAGGGGAUUGUGUCGGAUUAGCUAGUUGGGGGGGUAACGGCCCACCAAGGCCAUGCUCAGUAGCCGGUCUGAGGGGAUGAACGGCCCCAAUGGGACUGAGACACGGCCCCGACGCCUACGGGAGGCAGCGGUGGGGAAUCUGCCGCAAUUGACGAAAGUCUGACGGAGCAACGCCGCGUGAGUGAGGACGGCCUUCGGGUUGUAAAGCUCUGUUAAUCGGGACGCGGUACCGGAAUAGAAAGCCACGGCUAACUACGUGCCAGCCGCCGCGGUAAUAC
rnacentral:rRNA from 1 species